CGGACGGGUGAGUAAUGUCUGGGAAACUGCCCGAUGGAGGGGGAUAACUACUGGAAACGGUAGCUAAUACCGCAUAACGUCGCAAGACCAAAGAGGGGGACCUUCGGGCCUCUUGCCAUCGGAUGUGCCCAGAUGGGAUUAGUUAGUAGGUGGGGUAAUGGCUCACCUAGGCGACGAUCCCUAGCUGGUCUGAGAGGAUGACCAGCCACACUGGAACUGAGACACGGUCCAG
rnacentral:rRNA from 1 species